rnacentral:lncRNA from 1 species
UUCAGCUUCAAAACUAAUUAUUUUUGACCUCUACAUUUGGGAUGCUGCAGAGGGCCCCUGAAUCAUCCAAAAGAGAGGUAAAGAAAGCUUUUCAAGUUUUACUGACUGAAGACAAUCAACCCUCUUCACAACUGAGAACCUGAAGAUUGAAUCUUCUGAGAACAUCAGAGAAAGACUACCCUUGCCAUCCAUACUGCAGAAAAACUUCAGGACCUUGAACCUUGGGUUCAUAAUCUAACAACUCAGAAGUGUCUCUCCACACUCUUGGAACAGUACACCCAUUGGAAACCUUAAGGUGCUGAAAGUUGUGAUACCUUUCCAUACCCAUCAUAAGUCUCACAACUGAUGCUGUCAUAACAACAACAACAAAAAGGUUAACAAGAGAAAAGCGUAACAAUUUUAUUAAAUCAAGUUUUUACAUGAUUUUGGGAGGCUUCAGAAAUAAAGACCCAAAGACCCAGGGAAAAUUAUCCAUUUUUAUGCUUAGAUUCGAUGAAAAAUUGACAGCUGAGUGGAGAUGUGAUUGGACAAAAGGGUAUGAUCUAAUGGUAAUGGACUGAGAAGGAGAUCUAGCCGGACUUGUUUGUUCAGAUUCUUCUUGGCUUCUCUACGUGGCAUUCCUUCCUCCUAGUGUGGGGCAGAACCCCUCUGAAACGAUAGAAGGAAGAAAGGAGAGAGAGACACCUUUCUAAACUUUUAAGAAAACUUCUUUUUCUAUCUAUAAGCCAGGAGAAGCAUGGAAAUGAUAUGAAUUGAUGAAAAAGGAAGAUACUGGAGCUCCUUUAAAGAAUGCUGUCACGCCAUAAGUGGAAGUACUGUGGUAGAAGAGAGACUAUAAAAUAUUGAUGGACUAUUGACCUGAGGUAGCAAAGGAAGAUAAAAGCAAAUUCUCUGAGUGCACAAAGAAGCUACCCGUCUCCAUAGUGUGGAAAAGAACUUCAAUAUUAACAUCAAUAAUGAGUUAUCGUUGUCUGAAAUACAUUUUUCUUGUUACCAUAUCAGAAUUGUAUUCAUUUCAGUUUCAGAGAAAAAAAACAUAUUUUUUUAAAUUUCAUAAUUAUGUUUUCUGUUGCAUAAGAACAGUUCACGUGGAGAGGUGCUUCGAAAUAUACAUCUUAUUAUCAUUAAAUCCUAGCCAUUGUGGCUAUCUUCAUAAGACAGUCCAACAGUUGAGCUGUUUGGGAGUUUAUUUGCUUGGUGUCUUGAUUUUAAGUUAUUAAAAAGUUGUACCUGCCCAAA